CAAAGCACUUUGAAGAGAGAGUUAAAGAGGACGUGAAACCGGUAAGGUGGAAACGGAUAGAGUCGGCGUAUCAUUCAAUUAUUCAGUUACAUUAUUUUUAUGUUGUGACCUCUGAGCUCCAGAUUGGGACAGAGGGAAUCAGCAUAAUUUUUUGUGGUGCAUUUACUUGAUUGGUGCUUGGGGAUGUUUGAGGCAGAUUUGUUUCCGUCGUUUUGAGGCCAGCUUGCUGGUACCCAAACGGUGUUAGCAUUUUUUGUCUUGGGCAUUUGAGUAUGGCUCACGUGUAUUUAUUGGACAGAUCUGAGUGUAAGUUACGGUCGCAUGCGACACGUGCUUUUCAAUUAGUUCGGUCCAGUUAAUGCUCUCGUACUCGUUCCCCAUGUAAAAGCCGGUCAUCUAUCCGACCCGUCUUGAAACACGGACCAAGGAGUUUAUCGUGUGCGCAAGUUUUUGGGUGUUAAAAACUUAAAAGCGAAAUGAAAGUAAAUGACUCUUUAGAGUCUGAUGUGCGAUCUUGUAAAAAAGUGUAGCAUGGCCCCAUUCUAACUGUUUACAGUAGGGUGGCGGAAGAGCGUACGCGGUGAGACCCGAAAGAUGGUGAACUAUUCCUGAGCAGGACGAAGCCAGAGGAAACUCUGGUGGAAGUCCGAAGCGGUUCUGACGUGCAAAUCGAUCGUCUGACUUGGGUAUAGGGGCGAAAGACUAAUCGAACCAUC
rnacentral:rRNA from 4 species